CCUACGGGAGGCAGCAGUGGGGAAUCUUGCGCAAUGGGCGAAAGCCUGACGCAGCCAUGCCGCGUGAAUGAUGAAGGUCUUAGGAUUGUAAAAUUCUUUCACCGAGGACGAUAAUGACGGUACUCGGAGAAGAAGCCCCGGCUAACUUCGUGCCAGCAGCCGCGGUAAUACGAAGGGGGCUAGCGUUGCUCGGAAUUACUGGGCGUAAAGGGAGCGUAGGCGGAUAGUUUAGUCAGAGGUGAAAGCCCAGGGCUCAACCUUGGAAUUGCCUUUGAUACUGGCUAUCUUGAGUACGGAAGAGGUAUGUGGAACUCCGAGUGUAGAGGUGAAAUUCGUAGAUAUUCGGAAGAACACCAGUGGCGAAGGCGACAUACUGGUCCGUUACUGACGCUGAGGCUCGAAAGCGUGGGGAGCAAACAGGAUUAGAUACCCUGGUAGUCCACGCUGUAAACGAUGAGUGCUAGUUGUCGGCAUGCAUGCAUGUCGGUGACGCAGCUACGACAUAAGACACUCCGCCGUGGGUAGGUACGGUCGGCGAGAAGUUAAACGUACAAUAGAAGUAGACGGCGUGAGACGUAGACCGACGGACGACGACGAGGGAGGAGG
rnacentral:rRNA from 1 species